AGUGGCAUGACAGUGUCAUGACACAUGAACCCUAACCAACUUGUUAUGACAAAACCGAAUGACACUUACUAAAAGAAGCGUUAUGUCAUAAAUGUUCAUGACUUGUUCAUAAUGUUUAUGAGACCUUCAUGACAGUGUCAGGUCACUCUCAUGUAGGUACCUGAAAGUAAAGUGU